rnacentral:rRNA from 1 species
UACGAGGGGGGCAAGCGUUGUUCGGAAUUAUUGGGCGUAAAGGGUGCGUAGGCGGCGCGGUAUGUCUCUUGUGAAAUCUCCAGGCUCAACUUGGAGUCUGCAAGGGAAACUGCCGUGCUUGAGUACUGGAGAGGUGAGUGGAAUUCCCGGUGUAGCGGUGAAAUGCGUGGAUAUCGGGAGGAACACCUGUGGCGAAAGCGGCUCACUGGACAGUAACUGACGCUGAUGCACGAAAGCUAGGGGAGCAAACAGG